rnacentral:rRNA from 1 species
CCUACGGGGGGCUGCAGUGGGGAAUAUUGGACAAUGGGCGCAAGCCUGAUCCAGCCAUGCCGCGUGAGUGAUGAAGGUCUUAGGAUUGUAAAGCUCUUUCACCGAUGAAGAUAAUGACGGUAGUCGGAGAAGAAGCCCCGGCUAACUUCGUGCCAGCAGCCGCGGUAAUACGAAGGGGGCUAGCGUUGUUCGGAAUUACUGGGCGUAAAGCGCACGUAGGCGGAUAUUUAAGUCAGGGGUGAAAUCCCAGAGCUCAACUCUGGAACUGCCUUUGAUACUGGGUAUCUUGAGUAUGGAAGAGGUGAGUGGAAUUCCGAGUGUAGAGGUGAAAUUCGUAGAUAUUCGGAGGAACACCAGUGGCGAAGGCGGCUCACUGGUCCAUUACUGACGCUGAGGUGCGAAAGCGUGGGGAGCAAACAGGAUUAGAUACCCUAGUAGUC